rnacentral:tRNA from 1 species
ACAGUGGUGGUUCAGUGGUAGAAUUCUCACCUUCCAUGUGCGAAACCUGGGUUUGAUUCCUAGUUAAUGCA